UACAGAGGGUGCAAGCGUUGCUCGGAAUUAUUGGGCGUAAAGGGCAGGUAGGUGGUCUUAUUUGUCUGGGGUGAAAUCCUCGAGCUUAACUCGAGAAGUGCCUUAGAAACGGUAAGACUAGAGUACUGGAGAGGGUCGUGGAAUUCCCGGUGUAGCGGUGAAAUGCGUAGAGAUCGGGAGGAACACCAGCGGCGAAGGCGGCGACCUGGACAGUGACUGACACUCAACUGCGAAAGCGUGGGGAGCAAACAGG
rnacentral:rRNA from 1 species